rnacentral:rRNA from 2 species
CCAAUAGCGUAUAUUAAAGUUGUUGCAGUUAAAAAGCUCGUAGUUGAAUUUCGGGAUUGACGUGAUGGUCGUGCCUUAAGGGGUAUGAACUGUCGCAGUUGAUUUCUCACCUUCUGGAGAAGCUUGAUGUCCUUAAUUGGGUGUCAUGUGGAACCAGGACCUUUACCUUGAAAAAAUUAGAGUGUUUAAAGCAGGCAUUUUGCUCGAAUACAUUAGCAUGGAAUAAUAGAAUAGGACGGCAUGGUUCUAUUUUGUUGGUUUCUAGGAUCACCGUAAUGAUUAAUAGGGAUAGUUGGGGGCAUUAGUAUUCAAUUGUCAGAGGUGAAAUUCUUGGAUUUAUUGAAGACUAACUACUGCGAAAGCAUUUGCCAAGGAUGUUUUCAUUAAUCAAGAACGAAAGUUAGGGGAUCGAAGACGAUCAGAUACCGUCGUAGUCUUAACCAUAAACUAUGCCGACUAGGAAUCAGACGAUGUUAAUUUUUUAAUGACUCGUUUGGCACCUUACG